UACGUAGGUGACAAGCGUUGUCCGGAUUUACUGGGCGUAAAGCGCACGUAGGCGGCUUGGUAUGUCGGGUGUGAAAUCCCCGGGCUCAACCUGGGAACUGCAUCCGAAACUGCCUUGCUCGAGUAUGGGAGAGGGAAGUGGAAUUUCCGGUGUAGCGGUGAAAUGCGUAGAUAUCGGAAGGAACAUCAGUGGCGAAGGCGACUUCCUGGACCAAUACUGACGCUCAGGUGCGAAAGCGUGGGGAGCAAACAGG
rnacentral:rRNA from 1 species